rnacentral:rRNA from 1 species
AACGAACGCUGGCGGCAUGCCUAACACAUGCAAGUCGAACGAGACCUUCGGGUCUAGUGGCGCACGGGUGCGUAACGCGUGGGAACCUGCCCUUAGGUUCGGAAUAACUCCCCGAAAGGGGUGCUAAUACCGGAUAAUGUCUUCGGACCAAAGAUUUAUCGCCUUUGGAUGGGCCCGCGUUGGAUUAGCUAGUUGGUAGGGUAAAAGCAUACCAAGGCGACGAUCCAUAGCUGGUCUGAGAGGAUGAUCAGCCACACUGGGACUGAGACACGGCCCAGACUCCUACGGGAGGCAGCAGUGGGGAAUAUUGGACAAUGGGCGAAAGCCUGAUCCAGCAAUGCCGCGUGAGUGAUGAAGGCCUUAGGGUUGUAAAGCUCUUUUACCCGGGAUGAUAAUGACGGUACCGGGAGAAUAAGCUCCGGCUAACUCCGUG